rnacentral:rRNA from 1 species
GGGACACGUGGUAUCCUGUCUGAAUAUGGGGGGACCAUCCUCCAAGGCUAAAUACUCCUGACUGACCGAUAGUGAACCAGUACCGUGAGGGAAAGGCGAAAAGAACCCCGGCGAGGGGAGUGAAAAAGAACCUGAAACCGUGUACGUACAAGCAGUAGGAGCCCACUGGUUGGGUGACUGCGUACCUUUUGUAUAAUGGGUCAGCGACUUAUAUUCUGUAGCAAGGUUAACCGUAUAGGGGAGCCGCAGGGAAACCGAGUCUUAACUGGGCGUUAAGUUGCAGGGUAUAGACCCGAAACCCGGUGAUCUAGCCAUGGGCAGGUUGAAGGUUGGGUAACACUAACUGGAGGACCGAACCGACUAAUGUUGAAAAAUUAGCGGAUGACUUGUGGCUGGGGGUGAAAGGCCAAUCAAACCGGGAGAUAGCUGGUUCUCCCCGAAAGCUAUUUAGGUAGCGCCUCGUGAACUCAUCUUCGGGGGUAGAGCACUGUUUCGGCUAGGGGGUCAUCCCGACUUACCAACCCGAUGCAAACUACGAAUACCGAAGAAUGUUAUCACGGGAGACACACGGCGGGUGCUAACGUCCGUCGUGAAGAGGGAAACAACCCAGACCGCCAGCUAAGGUCCCAAAGUCAUGGUUAAGUGGGAAACGAUGUGGGAAGGCCCAGACAGCCAGGAUGUUGGCUUAGAAGCAGCCAUCAUUUAAAGAAAGCGUAAUAGCUCACUGGUCGAGUCGGCCUGCGCGGAAGAUGUAACGGGGCUAAACCAUG